rnacentral:misc_RNA from 1 species
AUGAAUUGUAAUGGGGGGUUUGAUGCUGGCAUGGCUGCAUGUGCUCAUCUCCCGACAAUCUUUAUCCACACACCUGUGCAUCUUCUGAGGGUUUUCGAGUAGAGAUUGCCAUCCAGUGAUCUUUCUCGGAUUCCCUCUUUACAUACGCGUAUUACAGUAAUGUUGAACGUGCUCGUGCCGAUGUGGCCGUAAUAAAAUA